rnacentral:rRNA from 1 species
UACGUAGGUGGCGAGCGUUGUCCGGAAUUACUGAGCGUAAAGGGCGAGUAGGCGGUAACACAAGUCAGAUGUGAAAGGCGAGGGCUCAACUCUCGGAUUGCAUUUGAAACUGUGUAACUUGAGUGCGGUAGAGGAAAGUGGAAUUCCCAGUGUAGCGGUGAAAUGCGUAGAUAUUGGGAGGAACACCAGUGGCGAAGGCGACUUUCUGGGCCGUAACUGACGCUGAGGCGCGAAAGCGUGGGGAGCGAACAGGAUUAGAUACCCCGGUAGUCCCU